UACGGGGGGGCAAGCGUUGUUCGGAAUUACUGGGCGUAAAGGGCUCGUAGGCGGCCAACUAAGUCGGAUGUGAAAUCCCCAGGCUUAACCUGGGAACUGCAUCCGAUACUGGAUGGCUUGAAUCCGGGAGAGGGAUGCAGAAUUCCAGGUGUAGCGGUGAAAUGCGUAGAUAUCUGGAGGAACACCGGUGGCGAAGGCGGCAUCCUGGACCAAUAUUGACGCUGAGGCGCGAAAGCCAGGGAGCAACGGG
rnacentral:rRNA from 1 species